UCCCGUGUGGUCUAGUGGUUAGGAUGUCUGGUUUUCAAGUCUAUAGUUUACUAAAAACCCAGAAGAUCACGAGUUCGACCCUCGUCACGGGAA
rnacentral:tRNA from 1 species